UGAGGAGGGAAGAGGGGUGGUGGGAAACAGAAUUGGAUAGAAUAUCCCACAUCCACCAUGCUCAGGACCCAGCGAUCUGAUGUGAUCUGGGACCAAGCACAAUAGAAGUGGAAGAGUCAAUUCACAAAGAGGGGGUAAG